rnacentral:piRNA from 1 species
UGGAAGAUUCCAUUAGCCCAUAGUAGGCCU